GGAAGAACAAGUUAUAGGAGAAAUGUAACUUGGUUUAAAGAGAAAAAAAAAAGGAAAGAAAAACAUCUGAGGCUAAGGUUUUCUAUAGGCUAACAGGUUACUUGGGUCAGUGAUGCCUGUAGGACAGUGAUUGAGAUGCUGCUCAAAUAUAUUUGGAAGCUCUGAUGAAAUGAUUUAAGCAAUAGCAUCACCCAUCUGAGAUCACUGGUUUUGCUGAUUCCUUCUGCUUGAAAGUGGUAUCACUACAGUUAGGAGGGACCAACAGUACCUUAUCUCCAAGUGAAGAGUGACACAGUGAUUUAAUUCUUGAGCAGCACAGACUGCAAAAGGAGGCAAAGACCUGCAAUGGCUGUCCAUCUCCACCUGCUGAACAGGUGCAUCAGGCAAAGGUCAGAACAACUCCUGUUAAGCAUUACCAAGAAAUAUACUUAGAUGUGGGAAUUUUGGAAAGGAACUUGUGAUGUACACUUUGGACUGAAAUCAAAUCUUGAAAUAGUGAUGUGUCAGGCAAAGCAGAAACCUUACGCUCUGAGUGCAAUUGUAAAACUUUCUGCUGCAGCUUCUAAUCAGGUGAGAAAACUAAAAUUGAUGGAAAUCCUGCCUGUGGAGUUUUAGCCUUGGGAAGUGAGAUAUGAACAACAACAACAACAAAAAAAAAAAACAACAAAAAAAGAUGAAUCAAUGCCAAGAAAACACAAAAUGAUCCCAAGAACUGUUUCUAAAGAAAAACUGCAUUAAAAUAUUAAUGAUGGAGUAAAACAAAUGGCUCAAAAGGUGUAAUACAAUACUGCAUGCAAGAAGGACUUAGCAUAAUUUUACAGACAAACAAACAAAAAAAAAAGAAUCUGAAUGUUGAAGUUUGGUAAGUUUAAGAGCAUGAAGAAGCAGAAACACCAGGGCGAUUAAGAAUCCAGCCAGGUGGGACAGAUCUUUUUCUGAGGCUAAGUUGCUGAGUUUCAGACAAAUGGAAGUACUGUUGCCCCUCUGGUGGUGACCCUGAUACAAGAAGUGGUGCUACCAGUUAAUGCUGUUUUUCCCUGACUCUAUGCUAUUACCCAGUCUAUGCAGUAUUGAAAACACAGUGAGUGAAAGCACUUAACUGAGCAACACCUUCCUAGGAAGACUAGAUGCAGCCCUUGGCCUUGGUUGUGUAGUCAGUGGUUGUCUAAACCCCACUGGUCUUGUUCCAUGGCCACUUGUAGCUGUGCAGGAGAAAAGUUUGUGCCGCCUACUGUCCGCUGCAUAUGAUUUUUUCUUUUGUGUCCCCUUCCCCAUCAUCCAGCUGGGGUUGUAAACCUAUGUAGCAAUCCACACAAUCCAUUACUCCAUUGGUGUUAGGACAUGCCCUUGGGCAUUUCUGUGCUCAGUCCCUACUUGCCCACAAUAUUAGGAAUUGUCCCAGGUUAUGCAGCUCCAGUCCGACAGCGUUGUUAUCUGUGGCUUGGGGUCUGCACCACGAAGUGUACAGCAUUAGCAUCUGCUCCGUGUUACUUUGUAUGUGCUGUCCUUAGGUGGCAGUCUUAGUUGCAGUCUGUCUCAGCAGAAGCUUGAUUUUCUGGUGUCUUUACAGGAAAAAGGGCAUGAAUCAGGUGGAAGUGUUUUGGAAAGUGAUGCUCACAGAGCUGUAUUCCAGUAUAAAUUACAAUCAGCAAUAAUUAUAUGCUUAAGAAAUUUAUAAACAUCAUAUCCCGCAACCUGCUAUUCUCCUCUGCUCCAAAAAAAAGAAACAACACAAAAUCUAUUCCCCUGAUCAAGAAGGUCUUUGUCUCUUUUGAAUCUUCUGAAGAAGGUUAGAAGAGUCCCAGAGGCAUUUGAAAUUAACCACCAUAUCGAGAUGAGCUGCAUUUCCAACCACUCGUUUCAACUACUGUAGCAAAAACCACCACCACCAACAAAACAUUAAAAAAACCUUCCCUGUCCUGGGACAGAAAUGCUCUUCUGCAGUAAAUUCAAUCAAUUGUCAACAGACAAAUGACCUGAUAAAUCAAAGCAACCUGUGGAGGUUCCAGUGUGGAAAUUGCAAGGAGAUCUAUCAGUGGCAAAAGUUGUUUUACUGUGAGAUUCAAUGUUGCCUCUGGCUGCUUGGGAGGAGUUGAUGUGUGGACUCAAACCCUCGUUCUCCCCAUGACUCGCAUGUUUCUCUCUUAAAUGUGGGGCUGGCCCAAAGACUCCUACACCAUGGGAUGAUUUGCAAUGAAAGAAGUGCACUGAACUCUGUUUCAAAGCAACUACAGGAAAUUGGUCAAUGCAGUCUGUAUGCUAAGUGAUUAUUUGUGUAAUUGAAGUGCAAAUUAAGAAAAUCAUAAGUAAAGGUAAGUUCUUAAAGCAUGAGGAGGAUAAUGCAAGAGGCAAAAUGUGCAUCUGCAAAAGCUAUUCCACUCGUGUGUAUAAAUCAGGAGACUAUGUGCUCAAGUAGAGAAUUAGGCUGAGUUGCCUGCUGUUACACAUUUAAAUUAAGCAGGAGCCUAAUAGCUUUUUAAAAAUCCAGCCGUAAGUGUUUUUUCUCAGGGAAGAGAUCAUCUAAUCAAAAUAGUGCUUUAGAAGAAAGAACACUAAUACUGAACAUGAGCAAGGAGCUCUAACUGCUGAUAAAAACUCCACUGCCAGGAUAAGAUUUGUUACAGUUGGUAAAAGGCUAAAGUGGCUCUUUGCAGCCAAGCUGCUGGUGGAGAUGGGAGCAGGGGAAAUGAAACGAUGCCACAACACUAACAAAAUGAAUGGCAUCUCUGUGCUUGGGGUGGGCGCUGAUGGAAGGGCUGGUUUAUGUUUACUCACUUUCUUUGCUUUAUAUUCUGCUGCUGCUGAGCUGUGCUGGGGUUUUUACAGCAGUAAGCUCCUGGAUGUCAGCUCAGCAGUGUUCAGUCACAAGAUUUCUUCCUGUGAAUGUUUCAUUUCCACGUGAGAUACAGGAUUCUACAGAAUUCCUCUACUUGGAUCUUUUGAACUGAGCUCUAAAACAGGCUGGAGAAAUUUCAUAUAAAGUUUUGACCUAAUUCCUUGUCGACAUGAAAAGAUGCAGUGGUGCUGAAAUCAGCUGCUGCGAGGCGGUGUCAGGAAAGCAGCCUUUCCCCGACCCGAGGAGCCGAGGCCAUGCUCAAAGCGCCACACUACGGCUCGGGACGCUCGGCUCCAUCAGCUCCCUGCGGCUCCAGCAGUUUGUUUCUCUACCUGCAACAGAUUAUUUUGCCUCUUUAUCAAAACGUCUCUAUCUAAAUAGAGAAUGUCUGUGUGAGCUCAACACAAUUGCAUGUGUGCAAAGGAUUUUUGGUACAAAGCAGCUGUGUCUUUCACCUACCAUAGUUGUGCUUAGCGAAUACCUGGGAACUGGAGUGAAAUACAAGCACUUAUCCUGCAGAGAUCAGUUGCUGGGAGGGAUUUGAAAAGCACGUUCAGUCUAAUUGCAUUGCUGCCUUUCAGAGCUUUACAGAAUAGCUAAGCUCGCUUUGGGUAUCAGGAGACGAGGUGAGGGGUUUUAGAUCUGCUGUUAGAAGGCGACCUGAAGGUGCCUUCGCUGUCUCUGGGAAGGACUUCACCUGACUCUUGGGGCUUGGUGUUACUGUCUGCUGCAGCUGGAAAUCCCUGGCAGGUGGAGAGGCAAAGGAUAGAGGGGAGGCCUGCAGCAAAGGCCCCUUCUUCUUCUCCUGCACUCAGGAGAAGCAGGAAGCUAACAGGGCCAGCUUUCGUUCCUGUCCUGCUGCUCUGACUCUUCUGAUGCCGACUGGGAGUGCUGGGCCAUGCUGGAAAGCAGGGGGCUGCAAUGGGCAGUGGGUGGGAGACAGGCCCAGGAGGCAAAACGUGUUAGUGAGGAAGGACGGAGCCUCCCAGCAGGGAGACAGUUGUGUCCAAACCUGGCAGGAGGUUCUGACUUGGUUCUAGCAGCACACUGCAUAUGUUUUAAUUUUUUUUCACUUCUUGGUUUGUUUUUGUAAAAUGCUCUAAUCCACUGAAGUUAAAAACUUCCCAUGUAAACGUCUACAUCUGCUUUAUUGGAGACGGGAUUUGAACUGUCUGGGAGCUCACUGGGGAUAGGCAAGAGAGGUUUAAUCUGUUUGAAUUAUUACCGGGCAGCUCUUUCAGGAAGAACCUGAAUGUGCUAUUUGUUCUUAUUCUUCAAGGACUUAAACAAACCUCAUUUCUUUGGAAUCUAAGUACCCGAUGUGUGCUGUGUAGGGGGCAGGCAGGGACCAGUGGGUUGAGGUCCUUCAGAAAGAAGACACAGCUAUUUAGGACGAUCCAGUUUCCUCUUCGUUAAGAAACUAUAUCGUGUUUACAGCAACAGCUUUACCACUGCUCAUCCUUCCCUGAGCCUACAGAACUACAAGAGAUGUGUUUGUUUGGGAUGGACAAUGAUGAAACAGAGUAAGGAAUCGAAGACCUUUUCUAACAGUUUAAAUUGUAAUGAGAACUUUAUUAGGGGGAAGACGUGCAAAGCCCCACUUACGGGAAGAAGAUGACCAGCAGAUCUUUAUAGAGCUGAGAAACGUUUGGGUUUAUAUUUGAGUCCAAAGAAGUUUCUGAUCGCUUCUGUUUGCAACAUCUGCUCCAGCUUGUUGCUGUAGGAAACGCUGAAAGGUCAGCACAGCACUGGGCUGUGGGAGUGGUGGGGCUCGCGAGUCCUCAGACAAGGAGGUGCCUAAAUUUGCAUCAUUAGGUUGCAACAAGAGGAUGCUUUCCUGACAUUACUAAUCCUGAGCAUCUUUUGGGGGUGUUCAGUAUGUGAACUGUAGUGGCUUUUAAUAUUCGAAGUAGUAUUUAGCAUCUAAAGACGGAAGAAUUCUAUGGCUAGGCUCUGUGCUGGCAGAGGCAGCACCACCACGAGCUCCAGUCCUGUCUGCAGCCUUUGCCUCACUGAAUGUCGCAGGGAAAACUUUUAUUCCAGCUCCUGGCACAGUGCUGUGCAUACCGGGAGCCUUGGGACAGGUAAAGGGAGCCCUCUGCACCCUGCUGCUGCAGCACGCACCUGCAUGGGUGCUGCUGCUCCCUGUUCAGUCCUUCGGUGUUAACAGCUCAUCCUUUGUAUGAUGAGUUCAAAGCCUGCUAAUCUUGCAUCAGUUGCAGUCUUGUCUAAAUUCUGUUUUUCACAACCAUUACACUAGAAAUAAAAGGAUUAAUCAAACGCCAGAUUACUAGAGCUUACCACCAGUCAAAGUUUGGUUAAUCACUGCUCGCUUAACCAGAGCACGGAACUGCGCUCUGCACUUCUCCCCCGCUCUUGUCACUGGCAUCCUGUGUAAUGUGGAGCUCUGGUUUUGACAGAUGCAGAAGAAAUUGCAUUGCUUUUUGUCUUUUAACAGGUGUGUUUCUGUUGGGGUUCUAGAUAUCCCGUAGAGAUCCUCCCCAAGCUUGUAUACCCAAAAGGCAAGAUCUGAACGGCAAAGUGUAUCUGUAGAAAUUUGAUUGCAGAGAGUUACGGAAUUAUUAUUAUUUGUAAGGUUUACUAAGUACUGCAGAGAAGUAGUAAAUAAGUCAAAGCAGAAGGAUAAGCUGCACUAUUUAACAACCCAUUUAUUGUAUUUGACUAAUUAGAACAUAAAGCCAUUUCAGCAGUAAGCUGAAGUUGCUUCGUGUAGCAUAAAUGCAUUUACUUCAGCAGAACAUCAUAAAAAUCCUAGACCUUUAAUGCCAUUUCGAGGGUGUGAAUUAAACAAAAACAGACACAGAACCUCUUUUAGAUGAACCAGUUUCCAAACUCUUGAGCUUUCCAUCUGCACUCUGUGAAAUAGUCUUGCUGAAAUAGCUGCUGAGGACAGGAUUGCUGCAACACUUCCCUAGUAUUAAGCAGAACUUGGAGGAAAUCCUGUUACAUCCUUUUGACAGCAUCACCAGAGAAGAAAAUAAACACAAGUCCCUUUGUUUUGUUUUG